GAAAUUGUCAAAAAAAUCUUUCCAGGAAAGAAGCUUAUCAAAAAACCGUACUUGAAUCCGACACUGGUAAACAGGCAGAAAACUGCUAAGGCGUUUGAGAAAAUGGACUUGAAGGAACUCGGCAAACUAGCCCCGUAACUUCGGGAUAAGGGGGACCCUUGAAAAAGGGUGGCACAAAACUAGGGCUGCGACUGUUUAAUAAAAACAUAGGAUAAUGCAAACUUGAAAAAGAAAGUAUAUUAUCUGACGCCUGCCCGGUGCCAGAAGUUUAAUAGGAUAUGUGUAAAGCAUAGAAUGGAAGACCUGGUAAACGGCAGGAAUAACUCUGAUUCUUCUAAGGUAGCGAAAUUCAUUGACAUCUAAUUAGUGUCCUGCAUGAAUGGCGUCACGAUGGCCCGGCUGUCUCCAAGUUCAACUCAGCGAAAUUGAAUUCUCCGUGAAGAUGCGGAGUUCCAACAAUUAGACGGUAAGACCCUGUGCACCUUUACUACAGGUUUUCAAUGGAAAUAAAUAUAAAGUGUAUAGAAUAGGUGGGAACUUCUUUUAAGGAGUUUAAGUGGAAUACCACCCUCUUCAUUUUUAGUUCCUCAUUUUCCAAUGGAAAAGAAAUUGGAUACCGGGUAGUUUAACUGGGGCGGUUGCCUCCUAAAUAGUAACGGAGGCGUGCGAAGGUAAGUUCAAGCUGGUCGGAAAUCAGCUGAAGAGUGUAAUGGCAAAAACUUGCCUGACUGGAAGACUUACAAGUCGAGCAGAGACGCAAGUCGGUCAUAGUGAUCCGGGAGUUCUGUGUGGAAAGACUCUCGCUCAACGGACAAAGGUACGCCAGGGAUAACAGGCUGAUGACCCCUAAGAGCUCUUAUCGACGGGGUCGUUUGGCACCUCGAUGUCGACUUAUCACAUCCUGGUAGUGCAGAAGCUUCCAAGGGUUCGGCUGUUCGCCGAUGAAAGUGGUACAUGAGUUGGGUUUAGAACGUCGUGAGACAGUUCGGUUCCUAUCUGUUGUUGGUGAUUAGAAUUGAGAAUAGCGAUUCCUUGUACGAGAGGACCGGAAUGGAUUAACCUCUGGUGAUCGGUUGUUUUAUUCAAAGCACUGCCGUGUAGCUACGUUAAAGAAAGAGAACUGCUGAAAGCAUCUAAGCAGGAAACUUUGUUCAAAACAAAUUCUAAAGAGAGGGAAGACUACCCUUUGAAUAGGCGAAA
rnacentral:rRNA from 13 species